GAUUAUUAUCAAACCGUUAUAUCUGUAUAACUUGAACAAGCCUCACAAGUCGUCCUUUGCAAAGCUCCAACACCUGCUUGUCGCAAAGUGGCACAUGCGCAACUCACAUCUGCACUUGACUCACAUUGGGUAG